rnacentral:lncRNA from 1 species
AGUCCAGGGCGCGGAGGGUACUGGGCUGCGGAUCCGGCGCAGGCGGCCCCGGACGCUGCUAGGCGCGGGCGGAUUUCUGUUGCACAAAUGGGCCAAACAGAAGGACCGCCUCCAUGAACCGGUUCUGCAAAUGUCAUUUGUACAUCUUGAGGAUGGUUGAAAGAGCGAAGGCAAAGAAGAUGCAAAGAAGACAGCUGUCACACAAACAAGCAGGAUGCCACCUUCUUCCUGGGGACCAGAAGCCAGGAAAAAAUCAUGGGGAAGGUUUCAGAGACAUCAGUGGAAUAAGAUUUUGAAGCCCAUAGAAUAUUUUUUUCUUUUUGGAAGUUAUUUUAUUUUGUUUUUCUAAGUAAAACCUAAUAGAAUCCCAAAAUGGGAGAGAUGAAAACAUUUCCUUCCAGCCCUGCAGAGUUAAAGUAAACAGCAGGGAAACAGGAGGGAGGUCUAGGCCCUGCAUAUCACCUCGGAGGUUCCCUGCACCACCCACCGCCCACGCUGCCAGAACUUCUUUCCAAAGCAAUUGCCAAUCAGACCAACUCCUUUCUGAACACUCGCCAGCUGCGCGAUGAUGAGGCCCUGAAUGAAAGCCGUGCCAGCGAGGACCCAGAGAAGGAAUCAGCAGUGUGACACCUGACUCAGUGCAGGGUGAGGAGCAGGAGGGUGUGAGAGUGGCUCCCCCUGUUCUGUGAGACUGGGGAGAGCCUGGAAAGUCUGUGCUCAGAGAUGAGGAGCCCUCUGGGAUGCACCAUGGGCCAAGAGGUUGGCGAAGACGUGCUGACCUGGAGGGCUCCAAGGUCACCUGGAAAGACUUAUCCUCUUCACAAUUGAAAACUUCAGCCAGGAGUUCAGGAGCAAGGUCUUGGAUGGAGCCACAGAACUGAAAUUAACACAAAAAUCGAGAGUGGCAGCUGUCCGUAGUGAUUGUGAUCAAAGAUGUGGGUGGGAUCGCCCAAGGCAAGCACAGAGUGGGAAGAGGAGAGGCCACUCAUGGAAUCAAGUGACGGGAAGUGAGGCUCCCAGCGAAAGACAGAGCGAGGUACACUGGGCCCACAGGCCGCCUGGGCAGCCAGGAGCAUGCUUGUCUGAUAAAGGCUGUUAUUACUGUUAUUUUUGUUAUCAGUGUGUUACUGUAGCAUAUCUGGAAAAUACUGCGGAGCAUUAUGAGUCAGAACCCCUCAGGGAGAAGCAGUGCUAACCUUUCGGUGACCUCUGUACAAUCAUUUUUUCUCCUCACUUCUCUCUCUCUCUAACGUGUAUACGUGUGUAUGUGUGUGUGUGUGU